UUAUGCAAAGAGGAAUCUACAAAGGUAUAAAUUUCUCAACUUACUUUGAUUUGAGUUGAGUCUUGGUUCACCAAUCUACUAGGCUUUGAAUUUCAUGGGUAAUGUUUUGUUUUGGAAUGCAUGCAAGCAUGAUUCCGCCUUUUAAUUGUUAAAUGCAUGCUAUAGAUGUUAUUCAAAUGAACAUGUUUUUCACAAAAUCAUCCUUCAAGUGGUAUCAGAGCCUAGGUCUAGUAGUUGGUGAAUCCUUUUGGGUUUUUGUGGGUUCAUAUAGUUUGUGAUUUAAAAGUUGUAAUAUGUUACAAGCUUUAUUCUUGUUUCUUUGAAUGUAAAUUUUGUUAGAAAAUUUGCCAUCUCAAAUGUUGUAGAUGUAGUUCUUAUGAGCAUGAAUAUUGGAGCUAAAAUUUGGUGCCAUGUUUUUGGGAAUUUGCGGCCAAAUCCAAAGGGUGGAUUUUUGGGUUCUUGUUUGACUUGUUAAAAGUGUUUUCAAGUAACUUUUGGAACCCCUAUGUACCCUAGUUUGGUUAUAUGUUAUUUCCCUAAAGUUUGAAUGGUUUUGGGAUGUUUUUGGAGUAAAAAUGUUCAUGGAAUUUUUUUGGGUUUUUCAUGAAUGUUCUUCAUUGUUCUUAACAUUUUUGCCAAGAACAAAAAGGUUUUGUGUUUUGAUUCAAAGUUUUGAUUUAUUUCAUAAAGUUUAUGUUUUAUGUUUUUCAAAUGAUUUAAUGUGUUAGAUAUUUGUUUAAAUGGUGGUAGAAAUAAUGGUGGGUGUGAAAGGAUUAAUUCCCUUUCACACACACCACUUGCACCACUUGCAUGCUUUAUGUCAAAACUCACAAAUCAACACACACAUCACUCUAAUCCUUCUCCAAAACCGGCCCUCCCUCAAGUGGGAGUACUUUUGGGGCUUUUAUGCAAUUACAUAAAGUUUUGAUACUUUUGUGUAUUUGCACUUUGGCCCAAAAGUUUACGUUUUUACGUUUAGGACCAAAAACGCUAAAGGACAAAUUGUUUUGCUCCUUUAAUGAAGUUUUUACAUUGUUUAAAUUUUGGGUUCUUGUUGUAAUUACAUGAAGUAGUGGACUUUUGUGUUUUUACAAAGUGACCCCAAAAGUUUGUGUUUUUGCAAUAUAGCCCAAAUGUUGUGGUAAUUGCAUAUUGGCCCAAAUUAGGUUGAGAACAAAAUUGUUUUGUCUCUUUAAAUGAGAAUUGGAUUUUCAUUUCAUUUAGCUCCAUUUAAAUCAAUUUUAUGGAUACAAAAACCAAAUGAAAAUGUUGCAUUCAAUUUAAUUAGUUAAAGUGCUAAUUAAUUAAAGGGUGAUUAUGAACCUAAGCCUACGAUAAUUGAGCUAUGUGAAAGGCCGUUUCAAAUUUGUUUGAACCAUGGGAAUGUGUAGAUUAGAUUUUGGUUGUAAUUUGAUUUGAUCAAAUGUUGUAAAAGAGCAUAAGCUCUUCUUUACUUUAAAGUAAUUUGUUUUAUGCAAAUGUUGUAAUGAGCAUAAGCUCACCUUUACUUUGAAGUACUUCUUUCUUGCUUUAUUUGAUAUGCAUGAAAAUGAAGUAGUUGGGUCCAACGCCCCUAAGACAACACGCCUUAAUGUGAUUAAACGCGUAACUAAAAUCAAUCACCAUCCCUAGACCGAGAUUCAACACUAGGCUCGUGUUGAAUCUAAACAAAGGUUCAUAGUCAUCCUAAGGCCCUAAGGCAACUAUAUAGUCCAUCAAUGAAUGCAAACCUUAUGUUAGUAGUAUCAUAUACGCUUGCUUUAAAAACCGUUUUAUAAGCAUAGUGGGAGUAUUAUAUACAACUAAAAAUAAUCAAAUGGACCAAUAGUUGUAAUAGGACCAAAAUUGUUUUAAUAAAGAUUAAAAUGAAUAUUUAUAUGUGAUGAGACCUAAAACCCUAAACCAAACCAUUAUUAAGUUGAUAAGCGUGAGAGUGCUUUGGCACUCUUUCGUGGCCUUCCACCGUGGUAGGCUCCAAUCGUUUAUGACUUGUACACCGCCUUCACCCUAUCAUGGGGGAGUGCAAAGUGCAUGCUUAUACUCAGGAGGAGUCUAUAUACAUACUUGAUGAGGUGAAUGUAGGCAACGAGGAUGGCCAACAUCAUAUCAUUGUGAGGCUAUUCUUGAACCCCUUCACAAACUAAGCAUGGUGGGAAUGACUUAACUAAGUGCAAUGGAGCCAACAUCAUAUCAUUGUGAGGCGACAUUCUCUAGAGGCCAAAUAAGAUGGGUACUUGCAAGUGAUGCAAAUGAGUAAGCGUACUCUCUCAUUAUUAUUAAUGCUAGCCAACAUCAUAUUAUUGUGAGGUGGGCUUGGUAGUAGUCAGUCUCCCAUACCCUACUAAGAGUUUCAUCCAAAACUCUCGAAUUCCAAUGAGGGAUAUGGAAUUUGCCAAAAAUAGUGGGUGGUGCUAUUUGAUUUAAAGACCCGAAUCAAAUGGCUUAAAAUCAAUCAAUUUAUAUUCGUUAUGUAUUUACUUACCAUUAUAUUUGCAAACGCUAUCCCACACUUGACAAAUAAAAGCCGAAAGUUUAGUUUCCGGACUUGGUACUACAAAACCAUAGAUUGUCUUUAAAUGACUUGUAAAUAUACCUAAGUAGUCUCAUCCUCACAAUCUUCCUAUUGAUAAUGUAUCAUUGGAAGAACAUGUUAGAUAAAGUCUAUCAUAAAGAGGACAACACUUUUAAAUGUCAUAAUUCUUCAAUUACAAUUUGUUGUAUGAAGAAAUAAGAGUUGCUUUGAACAACCCUUAAUCAAUGC
rnacentral:lncRNA from 1 species